CGGCGAACGGGUGAGUAACACGUGGGUGACCUGCCCUCCACUCCGGGAUAAGCCUGGGAAACCGGGUCUAAUACCGGAUAGGACCUCUGGGUGCAUGCCUGGUGGUGGAAAGUUUUUUCGGUGGGGGAUGGGCCCGCGGUCUAUCAGCUUGUUGGUGGGGUGAUGGCCUACCAAGGCGACGACGGAUAGCCGGCCUGAGAGGGUGAUCGGCCACACUGGGACUGAGACACGGCCCAGACUCCUACGGGAGGCAGCAGUGGGGAAUCUUGCGCAAUGGGCGGAAGCCUGACGCAGCAACGCCGCGUGAGGGAUGACGGCCUUCGGGUUGUAAACCUCUUUCGCGAUCGACGAAGGUCCGGUUUUGCCGGGCUGACGGUAGGUCGAGAAGAAGCACCGGCCAACUACGUGCCAGCAGCCGCGGUAAUACGUAGGGUGCGAGCGUUGUCCGGAAUUAUUGGGCGUAAAGAGCUCGUAGGCGGUGUGUCGCGUCGGCCGUGAAAACCUGGGGCUCAACUCUGGGCGUGCGGUCGAUACGGGCAUCACUUGAGUUCGGCAGGGGAGACUGGAAUUCCUGGUGUAGCGGUGAAAUGCGCAGAUAUCAGGAGGAACACCGGUGGCGAAGGCGGGUCUCUGGGCCGAUA
rnacentral:rRNA from 1 species